AAUUUUUUUCAAUCCUCCUCGUAUUAUUAUUUACAGACGAAAGAAAAAAAAGGAAAAAAAGAAAAGAAAAGAAAAAAAGAAAAUUAUUCUGGAUUUCAAUUCGUUCGUUCGUUCAUUCGUAUAUUUAAACGGUGCACAAUGCACACCACUGUAUAUGAUUGCACCAAUUGUUGCAAUUAUUUCAAUGAUCGUCGGGUAACGAUAAACGAAGACAACGUUCAAAUCACACGACAGUUUUAUUGAUGGUAGCUAAAAAUAGGGAUCGAUUUAAAAAUAAAAAAAUAAAAAAGAAAAGAAAGAAGAGGAAUAAAAAAAAAAAAGAAAAGAAAAAAAAAACAAGGAAAAAAAAAGAAAAGGAAAAAAGCAAUUUUUCCCGAUAACGUCUCGCUAUAUAUUGCGCCAUUAUACGAGAUGAAGCCUCAAAUGGUAGAGUCUCGUUUUAAUAUCCUCAACCACCAGACAUGGUUAUCGUAUUAUCGUUUAGCUUUCUAAUGGAUAUCGAACAGCGAUACGAGGAAAUUCUCAAGAGAUUUCAUGUUACUCUUUGAUGAAAGUAAAAAGCUUUUAAUUUCCGAUUAAAUAAUUAUAAAAAUGUAAAUAAUCAAUAUAUAUAAAUAUAAAAAAAAAAAAAAGAAAAGAAAAGAAAAGAAAAGAACAAAAAAAAAACUAGAUUCGUCAUAGUGAGAACGUUGUACGACGCAACCGAACGAAAUCAAUGAAUUUUCGAGGAAAAAAGUUAACGCACGCAUACAUAAAGAAACGAUUAAAAAUCGAUGUAUAGGAUCUUUUAUGAAUCAUUAUGAUAUCACAUUGGGUUAUCGAACGACUGUCAUACUACUACUAUUAUUACUACUACUACUAAUAGUAAUAGAAGUAGUAGUAGUAAUAGACUCCACCAACGACACGAAAUAAACGUCAAAAGCAUAAAUUUGUUAUAGGAUUAAAAUAACAUGAGUCGUCUAAUCAUAAAUAAAGAACAAUAUAAUUUACAUCGGACUUGAGAGAUAAAUAUGACGACAAUGACGACGACGACAACGACGACUAUGUGAGUCAAAUGAUAAAUAAAUAAAUAAAUAAAUAAAUAAAUAAAUAAAUAAAAAAAUCUAAUCGAAAGAUAAAAAUUAUUAAUUAUUGAUGAUAAAUAAUAAUUAAUCUCUAUAUUUCCAAGAUUCACGAGAAUAUUCUACGAUACGUGAUAAAUUAUUCGAACGAACGUACUCGUAUACGCGAAAUACUUUGAUAUAAGAUAUAGAGACAUAGAAAAUAAUAGGCCAAGAUCACAAACACAGCAAAUGCGAUGGUUACAAUUGGUUACCUUCCUUUUGAUCAUUCGAACAACAUGGCACACGUGUAAUCACGGAAAUUUAUGUAAGUCAUUCGAUCGGGAGAAAAAAAAAAAAGAAAACAUUUUGAUUAACAUCGUAGAUGAAUAUUUUAUUAAAAUAAAGAGAGUUGAACUCCCUUUAUUUUCAUUUUUUAUGCAAUCCAUAAAUCUAAUUAUUUGAGGGAACUGUACUAUAAUUACGAGUUCAGAGUAAGAGAAAGAGAUUGAUAUAUAUAUAUAUAUAGAGAGAGAAAGAGAGAGAGAAAGAGUGGUAUGAUUUUUAAUGAUAGCAGCAGAAAAAAGAAAUCACAAAAAAGGAAGUAACAUGUACUUAAGAGGUUGGUAAAUACGUACGAGUAUGGGUAUAUAACUACGUGGGGAAGAGAGAGAGAGAGAGAGAGAGAGAGAGAGAGAGAGAGAGAGAGAGAGAGAGAGAGAGAGAAACAGAUA